UACAGAGGGUGCAAGCGUUUAAUCGGAAUACUGGGCGUAAAGCGUGCGCAGGCGGUUUUGUAAGUUUGUCGUGAAAGCCCCGGGCUCAACCUGGGAAUUGCGAUGAAGACUGCAAGGCUUGAAUCUGGCAGAGGGGGGUAGAAUUCCACGUGUAGCAGGUGAAAUGCGUAGAGAUGUGGAGGAACACCGAUGGCGAAGGCAGCCCCCUGGGUCAAGAUUGACGCUCAUGCACGAAAGCGUGGGG
rnacentral:rRNA from 1 species